GCUGGGGUAGGGUAGCUGGUCAUCCUAUGGGACUGUGGAUCCCACGACCCGGGUUCAAAUCCCGGCCCCGGCC
rnacentral:tRNA from 2 species